ACCCUGCGCGCGCGCAUACCUGCUACUACUGUGAGGGGAACAGCGUGAAUGCCCUUCCUCUCCCGGCCUUUCCCUCCAGGCAGUUACGACAGGCCAUUAGAGGUUAUUUACAUUCAAUAGUUACACCUGCCACACCUGUAAAGUCUUCUAAUUUUCGUGAAAUGUCUUCAAUCCACUCUUCUAUAGAAGCAAAGGAGCAUUCUUUAGCACCGGUGUGUUGGCGAUGGUUUACUUUAUUUAAUGCCUAAAUGUGGACUAUCAGGACAAUAUUAUGACUGAAAUAGAGAGGAGUGACCAUCACCAAGUGAUCCUGGACUUGGAGCUGGAUGCAGGAACUGAUGAGACUUUGGAUCUCCCCUUUUGGGGAGGCAUGUUGAACAGCAGUUGCUGAAGUGAUUUUGAUGAAAUAUGACCUUUGAAGACUGUGGCCACUGACCAAAGAAUCUGAACUACAGUUUCCAACAUUUUACAGGCUACAAAACGUAAGCUGGCCAGCAUUUAUUGCUUGUACUAACAGCUUGAGUCAAGUUUCCUAAGCCUACAGGGAAGACCUCUUACUGCUGCUAAUUUUACUAUCAGCAAAGAAAAGGGAAAUAGGAAACCAUAUGGAAUGGCUGAAUGAGAGCAUUUGUGAGAGCAGUAUGAACUCGGAUUAUCCGAAGAGAGGGCAACUUUUUUCUAAAACUAAAAAGGACUCAAUUUGCAUAGAAAUAAAGUGGGGAAAAAAUGUAAUGUAGAAAAAGUUAUAAGCAGAGAUUCUGCUCUGGCCUCUCAGGAUGGCAUUGAUUUACAUAUUAAGGCAGUCACCAGGGAAAUGUUAAAAACCCUCUAGGGAAAUUUCCAAUGUGAUGGAUAGAACUUUAAUAUUAAUAUAGGAUUCAUCAUGAUAAUGUAAGUCAUAGAUCUAAGUCUCCCUUCAUCAAAUGAAUAGUCCCUUUCCAGCCUAUUAUAUAGGCAGCACAUGCUUUAAAUAGUGUCAUGUGGGAGACUUGAAGUCUUUCUUUACCUGCAGUUUCUGAAGUUUUGUUCACAGGAAUAGUGACCCACCGGGUCAUCCAUCUUUAAUUACGUCAUCUAGACCAUUUGCAUUUUCCCCUUUUUAUUAAUAUUUAGUGUUCCUUAAAAUAUACUUCCAUCGUACUUUUUUUCACAAAUAGAAAAAGCAUAAUUCAACACAUACUAUUUCAUACAUGCAGUGACUAUGAAGGGAAGAUCUGAUUCUUAAUCUAUUCGUUGAUCAUUAUACAAGGAAAAAAGUGAUUUCUGGGUUGCUAUUUGA